UGUUCUGUAGCUCAAUGGCAGAGCAUUUGCCUGGCAUGCAUGAGGCACACAGAACAA
rnacentral:tRNA from 1 species